rnacentral:ribozyme from 1 species
AGAACGAAGUCAAACGUCCAUCCAUUCUUCUUUCUCUCCAAUGCUUUCUUCCUUUCAUCAUUCGCACCACCAUUCCGUCCCUUCAUCCACG